rnacentral:rRNA from 1 species
GACGAACGCUGGCGGCGUGCCUAAUACAUGCAAGUAGAACGCUGAAGGAGGAGCUUGCUUCUCUGGAUGAGUUGCGAACGGGUGAGUAACGCGUAGGUAACCUGCCUGGUAGCGGGGGAUAACUAUUGGAAACGAUAGCUAAUACCGCAUAAUAGUAGAUGUUGCAUGACAUUUGCUUAAAAGGUGCAAUUGCAUCACUACCAGAUGGACCUGCGUUGUAUUAGCUAGUUGGUGGGGUAACGGCUCACCAAGGCGACGAUACAUAGCCGACCUGAGAGGGUGAUCGGCCACACUGGGACUGAGACACGGCCCAGACUCCUACGGGAGGCAGCAGUAGGGAAUCUGCGGCAAUGGACGGAAGUCUGACCGAGCAACGCCGCGAGAGGGAAGAAGGUUUUCGGAUCGUAAAGCUCUGUUGUAAGAGAAGAACGAGUGUGAGAGUGGAAAGUUCACACUGUGACGGUAUCUUACCAGAAAGGGACGGCUAACUACGUG